GGGGCAGAUGCGCUCCGUCAGGUCGCCCACAGGCUCGCUCAGCUGGUGGACCCGGAAGGUGGGAUUCUCCCGGUGAGGCCGCAGGUGCUCCUCGCAGAAAGAGGCCAUACAGCUCUUCCUUCGGACCUCCAGCUCGGCUCCUGAACGUUUCCACCACGGUGCUGAGGACCGUGUUCUUCUUCAGCUCCGGCCUGGUGGCGAACAGGGUCCGACACUGAGGGCAGCUGUAGGAGUCCGUCCAGGUGGUCAGCAGACAGUCCUGGCAGAAGUUGUGUCCACAUGGGAUGGUGACCGGACAGUCGAAGGGGCUCAGACAGAUGCUGCAGGUCAGCUCAUCCUCCAGACUCAGCAGAGAGAACGGAGGAUCCUCUAUGGCCGCCAUCAUCACACUGCACGGACAGAAACGAAACUUAACUGGUCAACUCACACCACUUUCCCCAACUAAACAUUAAAGCAGUCUGACACGUAAUUGUCUUCCUACAACAGUGCACAGAAUGUUUCCAUGUAUACAGAAUGUGUCUGUAAUAAUGCAUCAGUCCUUUUGCCUCCACUUACCUGUGCUGUCAGUGCCGGUAACUCCAGCCAAGUGAAGUAACUUCAGCCUAGUUAUACAACAUGACUCAUUAAAACUGUCCCUCCCUCUCAGUGCACUGCAGGUCAAACAGCAGAUUUCCUUGAUUACAUUCAGCUCCAUCAUGUGAGCGCUGACAAUCAUUGACACGUCAUCCACAACACUUAGAGAAAGCAGUGACAAGAAAAAACAAAACAGGAUGUUGAGCUUGCAACCACGGAUUCAACAUUUUUUUUAUGUUUAAAUAGUGUGAAUAAACAAAUGAACCAUUUAUGAAGACAGAAACACGAUAUUUUGCUGAUUUCUGCAGCAGACUCUAAGAUCCCAUAUGGUUAAAGAAUCUAUUUUUACUGUGUUGGUUAAAAACUUGAAGGUAUAAACUAAAAGCUAUUAUGAUAUCAAGAUGUUUACCUCUGCCUUUCUUCACAGCUGGAUACACUCCCAGCCGUACAAACCAGUUAGAAUUGUGUUCAGUUUCUGUGUAUAAACUGAUAAACCAAUUGACACCUCGUUUACACUUUAUAUAAAUCUGCCUCCUCGAUGCUUCCCGGUGAACCAUCCAGAAAGAACAGCUGCCUGUCAAUUCACCUGGUUUGUUUACUUUCUACAGCUGCUUCUGUUAACUCUAAAGUCUCUGAGCCAACAGAAAAACGCAGCAAAUGUUCUUCUGAUGGCUGCAAAGUCAAAAUUAGUUUUAUUGUGAAUUCUUCAAUAUGUUGACUGCUGAGCUGAAGUCCAUGAACAUCAUUCUGACAGAGGAGUUGUUUGUGUCCAGAUGGGUGAGGGCUGUGUUGAGUGUGGUGGAGAUAACAUCAUCAGUCGAGUGGUUGGCCUGAAAAGCAAACUGAAUGUGGUCCAGUGUGGGGGGCAGGAUGGACUUGAUGUGCUGCUUGAUUAGCUGUUGGAAGCACUUCAUAAGGAUGAGAGUGGAAGAGUGAACACAAGAGUCUUCAUACACUCCCAGCAUUGAACCAAGGAAUUGAACACCCAGUGUAAUACUGUCAAGUCAAACUGGAAGGAGCUGAAAACUCAGAGAAGGAGAAGCAUUUACGCACAGGUGCUACACUCAGCUGAGGCGGAACCAAUCUGCGGCUGCAGGUUUGCCACCGGCGGCAUAAAAGGGGACACACGCAGCACUGAGGAGGGACUGAGAAUGAAUGACCGCGUUCAAACAAAGUGGCUGUGAGUUUCUGUUCGGAAAAGCAUCAAAAUCUGCGGCAAACUGUGCAGGAUUGCUUUCAUCUACAAAAUCCGGGUUGCAGCCGGUAAGAGCAAAAUUAUGGAGACUCUAAAAAACUGUUUAAGCUGCCGAUGUGGGCCACUGCAUACGUCAUUGGCAGUAUGUGUUAGCAUUAGCAUUAGCCACGGAGAUCGGCGUCAGCCACGAGCGGCUUGCUGUCAACUUUGUCUGUUUACCAAUAAUUGCCAUGUGUUUUGUAAUUUUUCAGUUGAAAAUAAGAUUGCAGGCUAAUUGGUGCUAAUUAGAGGGUUCCAGCUAAGACCAGUGAAUUCAUAUUUGAUUAUAGUGUCACCCCAACAAAAGGUGAAUCCUUACUGUAAGCAUGUUGAGCUUUUUAUCCAGAGAUGGCGCUUUAAUUUAAACCAGUAAUGAAAAGCUGGAUGGGUUUCUGUUUUCAGCUGUCACUCUUCAGUUCAACAGAAACUCGGCUGCUGUUUUCAUCCAUUAGCUUCUCUCCUGCUCUCUGUGCUCACAUAUACUGUAUUUUCAUAGUUAAAUUCCUAAUAAAGCUGUUCUUACUUACA